rnacentral:rRNA from 1 species
UACGAAGGGGGCUAGCGUUGCUCGGAAUGACUGGGCGUAAAGGGCGCGUAGGCGGAUGGCACAGUCAGAUGUGAAAUUCCCGGGCUUAACCUGGGGGCUGCAUUUGAUACGUGUUGUCUAGAGUGAGGAAGAGGGUCGUGGAAUUCCCAGUGUAGAGGUGAAAUUCGUAGAUAUUGGGAAGAACACCGGUGGCGAAGGCGGCGACCUGGUCCUUGACUGACGCUGAGGCGCGAAAGCGUGGGGAGCAAAACAGG